UACGUAGGGGGCAAGCGUUGUCCGGAAUCAUUGGGCGUAAAGAGCGUGUAGGCGGCCCGAUAAGUCCGCUGUGAAAGUCCAGGGCUCAACCCUGGAAUGCCAGUGGAAACUGUCGGGCUGGAGUCCGGAAGAGGCGAGUGGAAUUCCUGGUGUAGCGGUGAAAUGCGCAGAUAUCAGGAGGAACACCAAUGGCGAAGGCAGCUCGCUGGGACGGUACUGACGCUGAGACGCGAAAGCUAGGGGAGCAAACGGG
rnacentral:rRNA from 1 species